AGAGUUUGAUCCUGGCUCAGGAUAAACGCUGGCGGCGUGCCUAAUACAUGCAAGUCGAGCGGGAUUGGCGGAUCGCAAGUGAUGCCAGUCUAGCGGCGGACGGCUGAGUAACGCGUGGGUGACCUACCUUGAAGUGGGGAAUAACGGUUCGAAAGAAUCGCUAAUACCGCAUGUGGUCGUAGCUUCGUUGAUGCGACUAAAGCCGCAAGGCGCUUCGAGAGGGGCCUGCGUCCGAUUAGCUAGUUGGUGGGGUAAUGGCCUACCAAGGCUCCGAUCGGUAGCUGGUCUGAGAGGAUGAUCAGCCAGACUGGGACUGAGAACGGCCCAGACUCCUACGGGAGGCAGCAGUAAGGAAUUUUCCACAAUGGGCGAAAGCCUGAUGGAGCAACGCCGCGUGGGCGAAGAAGGCCUUUGGGUCGUAAAGCCCUUUUCUAGGGGACGAUAAUGACGGUACCCUAGGAAUAAGCCACGGCUAACUACGUGCCAGCAGCCGCGGUAAUACGUAGGUGGCGAGCGUUGUCCGGAUUUAUUGGGCGUAAAGAGCGCGGAGGUGGUGCCUUAAGUUGGGCGUGAAAUCCCCUGGCUUAACUGGGGGAGGUCGUCCAAUACUGAGGUGCUUGAGGGUGGACGGGGAGAGCGGAAUUCCCGGUGUAGUGGUGAAAUGCGUAGAUAUCGGGAGGAACACCAGUGGCGAAGGCGGCUCUCUAGACCAUUCCUGACACUCAAGCGCGAAAGCGUGGGUAGCGAACGGAAUUAGAUACUCCGGUAGUCCACGCUGUAAACGAUGAACACUAGGUGUAGUGGGUAUCGACCCCCACUGUGCCGCAGCUAACGCAAUAAGUGUUCCGCCUGGGGACUACGGCCGCAAGAUUAAAACUCAAAGGAAUUGACGG
rnacentral:rRNA from 1 species